rnacentral:lncRNA from 1 species
CACGUGUUCAGGAUUUCGUUUUCUUCCCUAAGCUUCAGAGACUGCCUUUCUUUAACCUUCUCUCUGUUUUACAUUCUUCUAGUCGCUUCAGAAGUUCUGAGGGCAACUUUCACAGGCUGCUGGUGGAGAAAAGCACGUCAGAUAUUCUCAAUGCACCAGGGCCACAGAAUGGUAAACUCCAGAGAGCACUGAGGAACAGAUCAACCGCAAUGUCAUGAUCCGGCUAACUUUGAGGAUAAUAACUCAAGUUUUGAAGAAGGCACUAAGAUGGCCACUUGUUUCAUCUGGAAAUACCCGCAACUCGAAAAUCUACCAUGAGCAAAAUUCUCUCAUCUCCAAAUGUAUAAGAAAUAAAGAAAAAGAAAU